rnacentral:rRNA from 1 species
GGGGAAUCUUGCGCAAUGGUCGAAAGACUGACGCAGCGACGCCGCGUGCGGGAGGAAGCUCUUCGGGGUGUAAACCGCUGUUGCCCGGAACGAAACUCGAGUUUCGACUCGAUUGACGGUACCGGGUGAGGAAGCGCCGGCUAACUCUGUGCCAGCAGCCGCGGUAAUACAGAGGGCGCGAGCGUUGUCCGGAAUCACUGGGCGUAAAGGGCGCGUAGGUGGCGGCAUAAGGCUGUGGUGAAAGUCCGGGGCUCAACUCCGGAUCGGCCGUGGCAACUGUGUCGCUGGGGCACCGUAGAGGCAGAUGGAAUUCCGGGUGUAGCGGUGGAAUGCGUAGAGAUCCGGAAGAACACCAGUGGCGAAGGCGGUCUGCUGGGCGGUGAGCUCGUAAGGGCUCAAUAGCCGACACUGAGGCGCGACAGCGUGGGGAGCAAA